rnacentral:rRNA from 1 species
ACGUAGGGACCAAGCGUUGUUCGGAUUUACUGGGCGUAAAGGGCGCGUAGGCGGCCCGCUAAGUCGAACGUGAAAUCCCUGGGCUCAACCCAGGAACUGCGUCCGAUACUGGCAGGCUUGAAUCCGGGAGAGGGAUGUGGAAUUCCAGGUGUAGCGGUGAAAUGCGUAGAUAUCUGGAGGAACACCGGUGGCGAAGGCGGCAUCCUGGACCGGUAUUGACGCUGAUGCGCGAAAGCCAGGGGAGCAAACGGGA